rnacentral:tRNA from 1 species
GUCCCGAUGGUGGAACUGGUAGACACGUUAGUUUCAGAUGCUAAUGAUCGCAAGGUCAUGGAGGUUCGAGUCCUCUUCGGGGCACCA